rnacentral:rRNA from 1 species
GAUGAACGCUGGCGGCAGGCCUAAUACAUGCAAGUCAAGGGGCCCCGCCUUUGGGCGGGGCACCGGCGGACGGGUGAGCAGCGCGUACACAACGUGCCCCUGACCGGGGGACAGCGGCGGGAAACUGCCGGUAACACCCCAUGGCGCCGCGGGGCGGCAUUGCCCGGCGGCGAAAGUUUCGGCGGUCGGGGAUCGGUGUGCGUCCGAUUAGGUAGUUGGCGGGGUGACGGCCCACCAAGCCUGCGAUCGGAGGGGGUGUGAGAGCACGGCCCCC